UACGAAGGGUGCAAGCGUUACUCGGAAUUACUGGGCGUAAAGAGUACGUAGGCGGUCUGGCAAGUCUGAUAUUAAAGACUGGAGCUCAACUCCAGGACUGUAUCGGAAACUGCCAAACUAGAGGACAAUAGAGGAAGUCGGAAUUCUCAGUGUAGCGGUGAAAUGCGUAGAUAUUGGGAAGAACACCAGUGGCGAAAGCGGACUUCUGGGUUGUUACUGACGCUGAGGUACGAAAGCGUGGGGAGCAAACGGG
rnacentral:rRNA from 1 species